rnacentral:sRNA from 1 species
UUCAAUUUCCGAGGAGUCGGAGGGAGC